rnacentral:rRNA from 1 species
UACGAAGGGGGGCUAGCGUUGCUCGGAUUGACUGGGCGUAAAGGGCGCGUAGGCGGUUCGUACAGUCAGACGUGAAAUUCCUGGGCUCAACCUGGGGGCUGCGUUUGAUACGUGCGGACUUGAGUGCGGAAGAGGGUCGUGGAAUUCCCAGUGUAGAGGUGAAAUUCGUAGAUAUUGGGAAGAACACCGGUGGCGAAGGCGGCGACCUGGUCCGAUACUGACGCUGAGGCGCGAAAGCGUGGGGAGCGAACAGG